AAGAAGCUGAGUCUUUUUUGCUGUGAAAGGAAGGCUGUGUUUUCCCAUAAGCUUCUGAGGGAAGAAGGUGCUAUUUGGACAAGGCCUGGUUGAAAUUUACCUGGGUACUGAAUCCUCCACAACACCGUGUGUUCUGCUCUCCAGGAGGGCACAAGGAAGAAUCCAUGAGCUCAUGAACACGGACUGAGGUCACGCAGCAGCUGGGUUGGCUGGAUUGUUGGAGAGCAAGGGUGUCAACUGAGAUCACUUUGCACAGUGCUGUACAGAAGAGGAACAUCAUUAGAAAUCACAUCCUAGCUAAAUAAAGGUGCCAGAAAAUCAGCCUUCAGAAGGAUCCUCAUCUCCAUCAAGGAUUUUGUAAUAAACAACUGUUUAAAGCAACAAGACCUGAAAGGGAAAGACCUCUAGCAACAGGGUGAAUACGCAGGAGCCUCUGCUUUCCAUCACUUUGCAUGUCAGUGGUAACCAAUUUAAAUCAAAUUCAUUAAUCCUGCUUGCUGCUGCAGAAUUAAAAUCCCCACAAUGAAAUUGCAUAUUUACCCAUGCCUUAACUUGAAAUAAUCAGAGUGCACAACAGAACUACUCUCGAUUACUUUGUCUUAUCACAUCCUUAAUUAGUGUUAUGCAAAUUUAGUGGGUAACAUUUAGACUCCAGGACACAGAAGCGCAGAAUGAAGCACAGGAUCAGCCUCCAAGGAUUUGUAGCACUAUGUGUAAACUCAUUGACCCUGGACAAGUCAGCCACAUAGCAGGUAUCUUUAAAUACAAUAUGGAUACUUAUUUACACCAGAGCAGAGUAAUGAGGAGUUAAUCCUAUGUUACAUCCUGCUCUGAUAAUUGCUGAAUGAAAAAUCCUAGAUAGUGUUAUUUCAAAUUCUGAUAAAUAUUUCUCUGUCAGGCAACAAAAAUGGGAGAUACAGACCUUAAUCUCCUAACCCAUCAGUGACUAAUGAAUUUGAACGUCCACAAUUUCAAGUCUAUCAGAAGAUGUGGUUUACAGAAGGUCCUGAGGAUCUCUUUGCUGAAAAAUUCAGCCUUUCUUGUAAAAAAACUUUCCAUCUUUUAACUUCCAGAACAUUUUCUUUUCAUGUUUAAUACAAGUUUCCAGGUAGAGCACUUUUGCAGUUCUCUCAGUCUGUCCUAUGAACAGAGGUGACCAGUCAGAGGAAGACUCCACUUGAACUUUCAUAUGAGGCCCAACUUCAAAUUUGCAUCUAUAUUGCGAUAUAUGAAUGCCUUUGCUUCGGAGCAGUUUUAUCACUGUCACAGAAGGUGUCAUUAUUGCCUAUAGCAAUGACUGCUUCCCUCAGCAACAUAUAUGACAAUGUGUCUCAGUGAUUUGCUUUGAGAAUGAGGUUUGGAUUUUGAAAACCAAAAUCAAUUUAUGCUCUCUUGCAUACUCCCAGAUUAUGAGAGCGUUGUUAUGAGAUCACCCAUAUGACUUAGGAAACAGAUCAUUAGAGUAAUUCACUAGAUAUGGUUAUGCCCAAGUUAAUUCACUUUUCAGCCAUGUAAUAAGAUCCCACAGGGUCAUUACUUCUUUGCUACAUCAUCAAAAAUAAUGAGAUUCAUUUUUCUCAGUUUAUGUGGAAAUAGACAUUGUCUCUUAUCAUCCUCAGCUGAGUGAAACUGGCAACUGCAGAAGUUCCUUUCUUGAGGUUUUCUGAGGUGAAAAAUCAUUAUAUAAAAUGUGAGACUUGAUGCAUUACAAGAGGUUCAGAUUGUCUUUCCCUGACAGUUGAAGCCUUUAUCACUAGCAGGAUGUGUAGAUGGAUGAACAACUGUGAUGAUAAGGUUUUUUUAAUAUAGAUUAUUUCUGAAAUUAAAAAUAUAUUUGUCAGAUUCAUUAAUAAGAGAAAAACAGGACACAAAAAGUUAUGCUAAGAUGAAAAUUGAUUGCCAACACAUGUAGUAUAAAUCAGUAUAUUUUGCUUAUGUGGUUGACAAACACUGUCUUAAAACAUCAAGGGAAGGCAGAGAGAUUCUAAAUUGCUUGAAGGGUCUAUCAGUUUAGCAAGAGGAUAAGCUAGGCUCUUGGUAAUGAUGUAUGUGUGAAUGGUACAUGUGGCUUCACCCAUGGAAAGUCUCCCUAUUUCAGCAGACAUCCUGUUGUUUAAUAGAUUCCACACUGUAUUUGGCAUAUAGUUGAACAAAGACCUUUUUCAUGACCAUUUUAGGGACUUUGUCUACAUAGUCAAUUAACUGGCCUCUCCUCUGUUAUCUGCCCUCCCAAUUGGUAUGUUCAUGUGAAAAGAUGGACCUGAAAUGCUCUCCUUGAUUGUCACACCUCGGCAUGUAAUGACAUGUUGGGAAUUACAGGGAGAGAGGAACCAUGCUUCCUAUGGUAGCCUUUUACUUCUGAUACAUAUGCAGCUAGCCAAAGACUUACUUGGAACGUGGUCUGCACUGAGGAUGAGAGAAUCUCCAUGUAUUUCACCUUAUGCAGAUACACAGGGCAACUUUUCAGUUGAAAACAUGAUUUUCCCUGCUAUAUUCUGUGCAGCAGGCUCAGAAUAACACUUGUUAAACUUGUACCAGUUCAUUGCUAGCAAGCAUCAAGCUUAUAGCAACCUUAAAAUCUUCUAACAUUUACCUGGAUACUUUGUCAGGCUCCAAUCAGUACUCCAGUGUUGCUGUUUCCUGCUGCUUUGGACAAGGUUUUGAGAGUAUUUUAUAAUAAUCUUAUUGCAUUUCAAAUUUGUUUUGCAUUUCCUCUCAUAAACAGUGUCUAGUGUUGAACCCUGGCAUCGCCAGUGCCUUCUUGGUUUUGUACCUAAUGCGUGACUGUCAUGGUGCAGUUAGUAACUUCUUAGCUCCUUUCCAGCAGCAUGUACUGUUCCUCUCUUUGAAGUUGCCUAAAUUAUAUUAGUCCAGCUACUGUGUGAUUAUUUUAUUUACCAGUACUGAUCAGCUGAUUUAUUGGAAAUGGAAGAACUGAAAAAUGCUGACAUUUACAGUUAAAUAAAAUGUCUGUUAAGAACUA